rnacentral:rRNA from 1 species
UACAGAGGGUGCGAGCGUUGUUCGGAAUUAUUGGGCGUAAAGCGCGCGUAGGCGGCUUUGCAAGUCGGGUGUGAAAGCCCUCAGCUUAACUGAGGAAGUGCGCCCGAAACUGCAGAGCUUGAGUGUCGGAGAGGAUGGCGGAAUACCCCAAGUAGAGGUGAAAUUCGUAGAUAUGGGGUGGAACACCGGUGGCGAAGGCGGCCAUCUGGACGAUAACUGACGCUGAGGCGCGAAAGCGUGGGUAGCAAACAGG